UCUUCCUUGUAUCUAUGGUAUGAGUCAACAGCGAUGUUUCCAUUACUGUGGUCCCUUAUCUUUUCAGGGUAUUUUUGAGUGAAAAUGUCCCAAAUGCUUUGUCCUCUACCAUCUUCAUGUGCUGCACCUUCAUACUGGUAUGCAGAUGAUGCAGUCCCAAAAAUAAAACCUGCCGGAAAACUGCUCCGGCUAUGAGUAGCCAAAUGCUCUAUAGAAUCGUCNNNNNNNNNCCGAGACCAGAAGAAAAAUGAGAAAUAAGGAAAGAAAGACUUCAACUUUCAUGGUUAGUUUAUUUUCU
rnacentral:misc_RNA from 1 species